rnacentral:rRNA from 1 species
AGUGAACGCUGGCGGUAGGCCUAACACAUGCAAGUCGAACGGCAGCACAGGAGAGCUUGCUCUCUGGGUGGCGAGUGGCGGACGGGUGAGGAAUACAUCGGAAUCUACCUUUUCGUGGGGGAUAACGUAGGGAAACUUACGCUAAUACCGCAUACGACCUAUGGGUGAAAGUGGGGGACCGCAAGGCCUCCCGCGAUUAGAUGAGCCGAUGUCCGAUUAGCUAGUUGGCGGGGUAAUGGCCCACCAAGGCGACGAUCGGUAGCUGGUCUGAGAGGAUGAUCAGCCACACUGGAACUGAGACACGGUCCAGACUCCUACGGGAGGCAGCAGUGGGGAAUAUUGGACAAUGGGCGCAAGCCUGAUCCAGCCAUACCGCGUGGGUGAAGAAGGCCUUCGGGUUGUAAAGCCCUUUUGUUGGGAAAGAAAUCUUGUCGAUUAAUACUCGGUGGGGAUGACGGUGCCCAAAGAAUAAGCACCGGCUAACUUCGUGCCAGCAGCCGCCGUAAGAC